UGUCAGAGCUGUCAAGAGAACUUUAUUCAUUGGAAACUGGGCCAGAGACCCCUCACGAAGCUGCAAGCCCCUGGGCCCUGGGCCCUUCUGUAUUUGGACCCUAGUGAAAUGUGCACAGUCUGCCCUCUCCAUGCCAGGGAGAGACAGAGAGGAAUGCCAUUUUUCUGUGUGAUGUGGGAGUGACAGGGGAAAGAGCAGAAAUCCGGUUAUCCCUCCUGAGACUCCCAGUGAGCUGGGGUGCCACAGGGCACGUGGCCCCAAAGUCAGGUGUUAAUGCUGUCCUAGCGUGAGUGCCUGCGUGGAGCAUGGAGGGGUGGGCAGGCAGGGAAGGAGGCUUCAGAGGUAGACAUUGAGGGUCUGCAGGAUGCCCCGGCGGCAGAGCGGGCAAUUGCGGUGGUAGACGGGGUGGCGCAUCAGGAUUUCAGUGCAGGCCUGGCACAGGCACAGAUGCCGGCAGGGCAGGAGCAACACUGUCUUGCUCUGGUCCUGGCAGAUGACACACUUCUUCCGCUCCUCUUGCUCCUUCAGCAAUUUCCAAGGGUCUUGCCCACCUGGAGGCUCCUCCUCAUUGAGCCUCUCUCGGCCCCUGACAGGUGCCCCUCCCCGGUUUGGCCAACUCGCCAGCUGCAGACUGCGG
rnacentral:lncRNA from 1 species